UCAGAAUCCUGUCUGUUCAGUCUCAGACUAGUUUUUCCAGGGGUUUUAACAUACUUCCAAAGACCUGGACAAUUUUAGGAGUGCUUCUGUUCUUUAACCCACAUCAGAAUGGUGAAGAACCUGGGUUCUGAUGUCAGUGAAAGCCGCAGAGGUACUUGUCUGCAAGUAUUCAAAGACUAAGCAAACAUGUUGGAGAUGAAUGAUUUGGGGGCAAGACUAUAUUCAUCCUCAGAAUAAUUCAGUAAUCCGCUAUUGCUGAAAAAAGCACACACCUUGGAUGCAAAGUAUAGAGAAAUCAAACUGGGACUUAGCUGGAAGGUUCCUCCCUGCUGUUCAUUUUCAUAGUGCCAGAAGGUGUUAUGCAGGCUGCUUCUGGAGGGGUAAAGGCAUCAACUGAUCAACAGUUUUAUCCAGCUGUGAACUUUGUGUACUACAAUAUCAACU